rnacentral:rRNA from 1 species
GAAGCGGCAACAGCUCAAAUUUGAAAUCUGACCCUUUGGGGUCCGAGUUGUAAUUUGCAGAGGGUGUUUCGGGCACGGUGCCGGUUUAAGUCCUUUGGAACAGGGCGUCAGAGAGGGUGAGAACCCCGUAUGUGACCGGUCGCCAAACCCAUGUGAAACCCCUUCGACGAGUCGAGUUGUUUGGGAAUGCAGCUCAAAAUGGGUGGUAAAUUUCAUCUAAAGCUAAAUAUUGGCCAGAGACCGAUAGCGCACAAGUAGAGUGAUCGAAAGAUGAAAAGCACUUUGGAAAGAGAGUCAAACAGCACGUGAAAUUGUUGAAAGGGAAGCGCUUGCGACCAGACCUGCUCGCGGGUGAUCAGCGGUGCUUUUCGCGCCGUGCACUCAUCCGCGAUCAGGCCAGCAUCGGUUCAGGCGGCCGGAUAAAGACUCGGAGAAUGUAGCUCCCUCCGGGGAGUGUUAUAGCUCCUUGUGCAAUACGGCCAGCCGGGACCGAGGACCGCGCUUCGGCUAGGAUGCUGGCGUAAUGGUCGUAAGCGACCCGUCUUGAAACACGGACCAAGGAGUCUAACAUCUGUGCGAGUGUUUGGGCGUCAAACCCAUGCGCGCAAUGAAAGUGAACGUGAGGUGGGAACCCUUUCGGGGGCGCACCAUCGACCGAUCCAGAUGUCUUCGGAUGGAUUUGAGUAAGAGCACAGCUGUUGGGACCCGAAAGAUGGUGAACUAUGCCUGAAUAGGGUGAAGCCAGAGGAAACUCUGGUGGAGGCUCGCAGCGGUUCUGACGUGCAAAUCGAUCGUCAAAUUUGGGUAUAGGGGCGAAAGACUAAUCGA